rnacentral:lncRNA from 1 species
GCCAAAGUUAUAUGAAAUUGUUUUUCAUAAUAAUAUUCCAUAAGAGUGCCUCCACAGUAUUCCAAAUUGUCAACCGAAUAUGACAGUUCAGUUUGAUUUUGCUCAAAUGAACUAAUGACCGAAAUUUUUUACUUAUCCCACUCAUUAAAUAAUUAUUCAACAUAUCUUGAAUUGUACCAUUUAACGGCAACACCUUCAAGCUCUGUAAAUUCAGAAUCUUAUUCUGAUUGGUCUUCCGUUGACUUAGGCUGUAAGCUUGCUCGAAAAUUGUCAUCCAGCUUCUGGUAUCUUCACUUUUUCCAUCAAAUUUUUGAAAUAUGAAUGGGACUGAUUUUUGAUUAAUACCAGCUUGUUCCAUAAUCUACUGUAAUGUUCUUAUAAUAUUAACAAGGGUAUCUUCCUAUGGUUUGAAUUGAUUUUGCUGCACUUGCAGCAUCAAAUGUAUA